GACUAACGUUGGCGGCGUGCCUAAUACAUGCAAGUCGAACGAUCUGGUAGCAAUACCAGGGAGUGGCGAACGGGUGAGUAACACGUGGAUGAUCUACCUCUAAGAUUGAGAUAACCCAUCGAAAGGUGGGCUAAUACCGAAUAUGACUACGAUCCGUAUCCGGAAUGUAGUAAAGGCGGGACCGCAAGGCCUGCCACUUAGAGAUGAGUCUGCGGCUGAUAGCUAGUUGGCGGGGUAAUGGCCCACCAAGGCAACGAUCAGUAGCCGGCCUGAGAGGGUGUACGGCCACACUGGAACUGAGACACGGUCCAGACUCCUACGGGAGGCAGCAGUAGGGAAUUUUCCGCAAUGGGCGAAAGCCUGAC
rnacentral:rRNA from 1 species